rnacentral:rRNA from 1 species
AGUGAACGCUGGCGGUAGGCCUAACACAUGCAAGUCGAACGGCAGCACAGUAAGAGCUUGCUCUUACGGGUGGCGAGUGGCGGACGAGUGAGGAAUACAUCGGAAUCUACUUUUUCGUGGGGGAUAACGUAGGGAAACUUACGCUAAUACCGCAUACGACCUACGGGUGAAAGCAGGGGAUCUUCGGACCUUGCGCGAUUGAAUGAGCCGCUGUCGGAGUAGCUAGUUGGCGGGGUAAAGGCCCACCAAGGCGACGAUCCGUAGCUGGUCUGUGAGGAUGAUCAGCCACACUGGAAGUGAGACACGGUCCAGGCGACUACGGGAGGCAGCAGUGGGGAAUGUUGGGCAGUGGGCGCAAGCCUGAUCCAGCCAGACCGCGUGGGUGAAGAAGGCCUUCGGGUUGUAAAGCCCUUUUGUUGGGAAAGAAAAGCAGCAGGUUAAUACCCCGCUGUUCUGACGGUACCCAAAAAAUAAGCACCGGCUAACUUCGUG